ensembl:lncRNA
AUGACGGCAGAGCCCAGUGACUCUGGGGAGGGUAUUCCUAAUGGCAUCCCCCCGCCAGUCAAACGUGGCAGGGGUCGACCUAAGGGCUCUGUCAAAAAUAAGUUAAAUAUGUUUCAGAGGAAACUCACCCGGGUCCCCAAGGUUGUCGAGUCCUUCUCUGCCACUGCGCCCAAGGAGCAGUUGCGCAAACGGGGACGGCCCAAGAAGAGGCUGAGGGGUCGGCCGAGAAAGACCCAACUGUCGGCAGAGGAGGAGGCGGAGAGGAGGACGAUGCAGCAAUUGAAGCCCAGGAGGCGCAGACUGUGGAAGCCGCUGGGGCGUCCACGCAUCUACCCGCUAGUGCCCCCCACCCCUCAAGGGCCGCGGAAAAGGGGCAGCCCUCCCAAGUAUGACUCUGUCUCCAGUCGUAGCACCUCCAAGCUGGGUAAUCCCCCAACUAACAGGCCUCCCGUCAAAAGAGGUAGAGGGCGACCUCCCAGUUCAACAAACAAAACCAGGCGCCUCACAUUUAGCCCGGUCCGAAAGAGGGGGAGACCACCGGGUUCAGGGAAGGACCAGGCCGCAGCUGUUGACGGACCCCCACGAAAGAGGGGCAGGCCCCGGAAAAGGUCCCUGGAGGAAGAAGCAGACAGCCCCCCGAGAAAGAGAGGCCGACCCCGGAGCUCUGGCUCUGCUGUCGCCAAGAAGAAGCUGGAAAUGGAGAAUGGCGCUACGCCGAAGAAAAGGGGCCGGCCGAGGGGCUCUCUAGGCAAGAAGAAAAGGCAUUGGAAGGCAACGAUUCCAGAACCUAAACCGCUCUACGACGGCCCACCACGCAAGAGGGGUCGACCCUCAAAAGUCAAACCAACUGACCUCCCCUCCAGUAGUGAAAAAGCAGAGCAGCCGCAGGAGGAGCAGCCGCAGGAGAAGCAGCCGCAAGAGGAGCAGCCGCAGGAGGAGCAGCCUAAACUGCUCUACGACGGCCCACCACGCAAGAGGGGUCGACCCUCAAAAGUCAAACCAACUGACCUCCCCUCCAGUAGUGAAAAAGCAGAGCAGCCGCAGGAGGAGCAGCCGCUGGAGGAGCAGCCGCAGGAGAAGCAGCCGCAAGAGGAGCAGCCGCAGGAGAAGCAGCCGCAAGAGGAGCAGCCGCAGGAGGAGCAGCCUAAACUGCUCUACGACGGCCCACCACGCAAGAGGGGUCGACCCUCAAAAGUCAAACCAACUGACCUCCCCUCCAGUAGUGAAAAAGCAGAGCAGCCGCAGGAGGAGCAGCCGCAAGAGGAGCAGCCGCAGGAGGAGCAGCCGCAGGAGGAGCAGCCGCAGGAGGAGCAGCCGCAGGAGGAGCAGCAACCGCAGGAGGAGCAGCAACCGCAGGAGCAGCCGCACGAGGAGAGCAUACAGGCAGCAUCAGCAGCCAAUGGGAACACACAACCAGCCUCUCUGGAGGAGGGGCAUGACCGCAUCCUGGCUCCUGUGGAGGAUGAGGAUGAACUUAUGGGUGGAGAUGAGGGUGAUGCCGCAGCUGUUGAGGAGAAGGCAGUCGGCAAAGGCAGCUCCAGUGGGAAGAAAACCCCCGUUGCUAAGCGGGGUGGCUCGUCGAGGAGGUUGAGAGCAGUAUGA